rnacentral:rRNA from 1 species
AGUGAACGCUGGCGGUAGGCCUAACACAUGCAAGUCGAGCGGCAGCACAGUAAGAGCUUGCUCUUACGGGUGGCGAGUGGCGGACGGGUGAGGAAUACAUCGGAAUCUACUUUUUCGUGGGGGAUAACGUAGGGAAACUUACGCUAAUACCGCAUACGACCUACGGGUGAAAGCAGGGGAUCUUCGGACCUUGCGCGAUUGAAUGAGCCGAUGUCGGAUUAGCUAGUUGGCGGGGUAAAGGCCCACCAAGGCGACGACCCGUAGCUGGUCUGAGAGGAUGAUCAGCCACACUGGAACUGAGACACGGUCCAGACUCCUACGGGAGGCAGCAGUGGGGAAUAUUGGACAAUGGGCGCAAGCCUGAUCCAGCCAUACCGCGUGGGUGAAGAAGGCCUUCGGGUUGUAAAGCCCUUUUGUUGGGAAAGAAAAGCAGCAGGUUAAUACCCCGCUGUUCUGACGGUACCCAAAGAAUAAGCACCGGCUAACUUCGUG